rnacentral:rRNA from 1 species
ACUCAAAGGAAUUGACGGGGACCCGCACAAGCGGUGGAGCAUGUGGUUUAAUUCGAUGAUACGCGAAGAACCUUACCAAGGCUUGACAUCCUGGGAAGGUCCUAGAAAUAGGACUGUGCCUUCGGGAACCCAGUGACAGGUGUUGCAUGGCCGUCGUCAGCUCGUGUCGUGAGAUGUUGGGUUAAGUCCCGCAACGAGCGCAACCCUUAUCGUCUGUUGCAAUUUCAGGCGAGACUGCCCGGGCCAACCGGGAGGAAGGUGGGGAUGAUGUCAGGUCAGCAUGGCCCUUACGCCUUGGGCUACACACGUGCUACAAUGGCCGGCACAAUGCGUUUUGCCAACCCGCGAGGGGGAGCUAAUCGUACCAAAACCGGUCCCAGUUCGGAUUGAAGGCUGCAACUCGCCUCCAUGAAGUCGGAAUCGCUAGUAACCGUAGGUCAGCAUACUACGGUGAAUACGUUCCCGGGUCUUGCACACACCGCCCGU